ACACGUGGGUAAUCUGCCCUGGAGUGGGGAAUAACACCGGGAAACCGGUGCUAAUACCGCAUACGAUCACGAUGUCUGCGGAUGUUGUGAUGAAAGGAGCAAUUCGCUCCAGGAGGAGCCCGCGGCUGAUUAGCUAGUUGGUGAGGUAACGGCUCACCAAGGCUACGAUCAGUAUCCGGUCUGAGAGGACGGUCGGACACACUGGAACUGAGACAC
rnacentral:rRNA from 1 species